rnacentral:rRNA from 1 species
GACGAACGCUGGCGGCGUGCUUAACACAUGCAAGUCGAACGGAAAGGCCCUGCCUUUGUGGGGUGCUCGAGUGGCGAACGGGUGAGUAACACGUGAGUAACCUGCCCUUGACUUUGGGAUAACCUCAGGCAACUGGGGCUAAUACCGGAUAGGAGUUCCUGCUGCAUGGUGGGGGCUGGAAAGUUUCGGCGGUUGGGGAUGGACUCGCGGCCUAUCAGCUUGUUGGUGGGGUAGUGGCUUACCAAGGCUUUGACGGGUAGCCGGCCUGAGAGGGUGACCGGCCCCAUUGGGACUGGGAUACGGCCCAGACUCCUACGGGAGGCAACGGUGGGGAAUAUUGCACAAUGGGCGGAAGCCUGAUGCGGCAACGCCGCGUGCGGGAUGACGGCCUUCGGGUUGUAAACCGCUUUCGCCUGUGACGAAGCGUGAGUGACGGUAAUGGGUAAAGAAGCACCGGCUAACUACGUG